CCGCAUACAUUUGAGAAGUUUAGAAGUUCUCAAAGAAACUUCCGGGGCGGAAAGAGGGUGCUGCGGCCCAUCAGGUAGUUGGUGAGGUAACGGCUCACCAAGCCGACGACGGGUAGGGGGCCUGAGAGGGUUACCCCCCACACUGGAACAGACAUACGGUCCAGACUCCUACGGGAGGCAGCAGUAAGGGAUAUUGGGCAAUGGACGCAAGUCUGACCCAGCAACGCCGCGUGGAGGAAGAAGGCUUUCGGGUCGUAAACUCCUUUUAACCGGGACGAGAGAGGACGGUACCGGUUGAAUCAGUCACGGCUAACUACGUGCCAGCAGCCGCGGUAAAACGUAGGUGGCGAGCGUUAUCCGGAUUUACUGGGCGUAAAGGGUGUGCAGGCGGGCUGUUAAGUGGUGCAUGAAAUUUCCAGGCUCAACUUGGAAAGGCUGUGCCAGACUGGCAGUCUAGGAUGCGUGAGAGGGUCGUGGAAUUCCGGGUGUAGUAGUGAAAUGCGUAGAUAUCCGGAGGAACACCAGAGGCGAAGGCGGCGACCUGGCACGCGAUUGACGCUGAGACACGACAGCAUGGGUAGCGAACGGGAUUAGAAACCCCGGUAGUCCAUGCCGUAAACGAUGAGAGCUGGGCGUCGGGGGGUGCAAACCGCCCGGUGUCGAAGUUAACACGAUAAGCUCUCCGCCUGGGGAGUACGGUCGCAAGGCUAAAACUCAAAGGAAUUGACGGAAUCGA
rnacentral:rRNA from 1 species